UAAAACUUUACCUGGACAUCGUGAUUCACAUUGUGAGUUAUUUUUCAAUUUUUUCGAAAUCUUGAAUUCUUCGAUCUUCGACGAUACGCACCGAUUCUUCAAGACUCCGACUCACUUCACGAAACUUGCCAACACACAAUACUUAACAAUCUCCCCCUUUGGCAAUUUCGUGACAAAACUCACAAUAACUCAAAAAUUACAUCUUAAAGAAAAACGAAGUUCAAAUGUCAUCACCAAAACAUUGAACUCCUCGCGUGUAAUCCAAAUACAAUUUAAAACUCAAAAUUACAUCAAAACUCCUAAAACAGACUCUAUAACUUAGACGCAAGUAGGAGUCUUGAAGUCUUGAUUUCCUGCAAAACAAUUUAUCCAAAAAUAAUGUAGAAACUCAAAAUUAGAUUCUUAUACCUUCUCCACCUUUGUUCUCGAUGAUCACAUCUCCCCCUUUGUUCUUGAAUUCAUCCUCUUCUCCUUUGUUCUCGAUCAACAUUUGUUCUCUCGAUCAACAUUU
rnacentral:lncRNA from 1 species